CUCUGAGCAACCUGAUGUAGCUGCAGGUGUUCCUAUUCACUGCAAGGCAAUUGGAAUAGAUGACCUUUAAGGGCCUAACUCAGGUAUUUGACUCUAUGAUUCUACGAUUCUAUGAAAUGGAUUCAAGCUUGGGUUACUUGUUCUUUCAAAGCCAUCCAAGCACAGCAAUGCCUGGUUGGUAAGCAGUCCCUGGCCCUCCAGCAAUGAGUUGACCCCUCUUCCCUGUCAGCAGGGCAGAAGAGAAGGGCUGAUAGUUCCUCUAGCUUCCCACAGCCCUGGUGGCAAAGGCUGUGUGGAAGACCUGCCAAGGAAGUGUCACCCUCUGUGUGUCCCAGCCAGCUCUCUCCACCCCGGGGCUGUUGCUCAGCUUUUGAGUACAGCCAAAUAAAGGUUGCUUCAGGUGCCAGCAGAUUCCAGGCAAUGAACCCGGUACAGAGGGCUGCCUUCACUCACCAGCUGGAGGAGAACACUGCUGCCAUUGAAAGUGAUCAUAAACUAUGUAGUAUUUACCCAGAAAGCCUUUACGGCCUCUUGCUCAAACACAUGCACUGUUUCAUCUCAAGUUAAUACACAAAGAUACAGGUCUCUUGAGACAUGCACAUAAUUUAAAUAGCUGGCUCUAGUUUCUCUUCCUAAAACACGAAAGUCCCCAGCUCUACCCUGGGGAGAAACAUCUGUAGUUUCAAUUCAAAAUGUGAAGUGUCUUGCAGUCUCCAGCAGCAGCAUCUGGCACUACUGGAAGGAGGGCAGGGGAGGGCUGCUUCUACGGGAGGCUCUGCAGGACUCUACCUGGCACAUUUCUUACCAGAACCCAUUCAUCCACAAGUCCCUCCUCAUUACCGCUGCAGGCUUCCAGGCUACAGCAUGUUAGGACAGCAGAGUCUCUUCCAUCUUCAGCAUGCUGCAUUAUGAACAAGCAAUUCAAGGAUUUCUUCAAAAUUCCCCUCGAGCUUCAGGGCAGAUUUUCUGCAACUACAAAGAGACGCCCAGGAACUUCACUAUCCAUCAAACUUUUCUUAAAAACUUCUCUAUCAGGAAGGCUGCAAAAAUAAGUAAAGAAAUGAAUAUAAAAUUAAUGCUAGCCAAGGCCUACUGAGGAUCCCUGCUGCAGUGCAUGGCAAUGGUUGACUACGUGGACCAAAAGGGAACAAUGGGCAUUGGGAGGACCCCCAGCAUGGCUAUAGGAGUGGAAGAAGGAUGUUGUGCUGUCCUCAUGCCUGGCAGCACACCCAAAACGGAGAGGUGCCUGGGCAAAACCUGGCUUUGCCUGCUAACCUGCCUGCUCUACCCAGAGGCUUCUGGCUGCCUUUUGUACAGGGAAGUGGGAAGGCUGCCCUGGGCAGAAUUUGUGACAGCUAAGGAGACCCAGGAAAUCCUGCUUUCUCUGCUGAGAUAGCUCAAAACAGGAAAAGCGUUCUUCCAAGGACACAGGGGUGAGAAAUAAGCAAAUCAAAGCAAGAAAACCAAAAGAAACGUACAAAAAUAGCCCUACACACAUCCAAUACAUCAUUUUUUUCUUGUUCUUCAUUGGACCCUAUGAAGGACGGGUAUUUUGCAAGUCUGACCUGUCUCUGAGGCCCUUUACAAGUUGUUCUUCACUGACACCAUUUAAAUGAAAUGUUUGGUUACCUGUAUCCCUUGCCUCUUUGUUCUUAAAAUGUGCUCUCGUAUUUUUACUAGAAACAGUCUGUCCAAGUGUCUUUGUCUGCGUCAUGUUCCAAAAACAGAAUGUUUUGUGAGAUUUCUGUUCCUUCAAGCCUGUAAGAGCCUUCUCUUCAGGGCAAGGUCCAUUUUGCCUCUUGCGGUUCCCAGCUUGCUCAGGUUUCUGCCUUCCCAAAGCAACUUCCUCCCAAAGCAAUCAGAGGGCAGGAGAGCAGUAGUCCGGACAACAUGCACGUUAUCCACAUCAUGUAUUUCCCAAGGAAAGACAUGCACUCUGGCUGUCAUCCUUUCUGUCUGAAGAUCUAUGGUAAGCAAGCAUCCUCCAUGUGCUGCCUUUCCCUUCCCCAGUCAGCUUUGGAGGCCAGGUUUGCUCAUGUGGCAUCCAUCAAGAGGAAGCCCUUCAAAAACUGGGCUGCUGGGGUUCCAGCUUGGAGGACAGCCACAGGGAAGGAAGUUAAAAGCACAGAGAAUCAUGGAAAUAUAGAAAUUCCUGAGCUGGAAAGGAACCACAAGGAUCAUUGAGUCCAACCUCUGGCUCAGCACAGGACCACCCAAAAAUCAGACUGUAUGUCUGAGAGCACUGUCCAGACUCUCCUUGAACUCCGGCACUCGGGGCCGUGCCCACAGCCCUGUGCAGCCCGUUCCAUGCCCACUGCCCUGUGGUGCAGCCCCUGUCCCUAACCCCCAGCUGCCCCUCCCCUGACACAGCUCCAUGCCGUUCCCUCGGGCCCUGUCUCUGUCACACAGAGCAGAGCUCAGCGCUGCCCCUCCGCUACCUGUGAGGAGCUGCAGCCGCCAUCAGGCCUCCCCUCAGCUCCUCUGCUCUGCGCUGAGCACACCGAGGGGCCUCAGCUGCUCCUCACACACCUUGCCCUCAGGGCCUUCUCCGUCUUUGUACCCCACCUUUGGAUGCUCUCUGACAGCUUUAUGUCAUAUUGUGGCAUCCAAACCUGCACACAGUUCUUGAGGUGAGGCUGCACCAGCACAGAGCAGAGCAGGACAAUCCAUUCAUCUCACCAAGCUCUGCAGCACACGCACAAGAAGCCUGUGGCCCAGGUCAUGCAUCUGCACCUACACAGUGAUCUGACUCACUGACACCUAACUGAAGGCCACACUGUAGUUCAGAUGAAGCUUGUGAUUUUCUGCCUCAUCCAGCUGACAGUACUAAUGUCUUGCCUUCAGCUACAGUAAACAAAGCUGAAAAAGUAUCACAGAAACUGUCCUUUGGUGGGCUGAGAUGAAGGAGAGAUCCUGAGCAUAGUCAGACCUCAAGGGGAUCAUGAGGCAGCUGAAGAAGGCAUCCUGUCUUCCACUAUAGAGGCUCCUCCCUCAAAGAGCUCCUGCAAGCAGAGUCGUGCUCACUAUUGUCUCACUGGAGUGAUGGUUAAGCUUUGGAUUAUUGUGCACUAGGAUCAAGGAAGAUAUGAAGCCAUGUGAAACACUGACCUGCCGAAAUACAGCAAAGGAGAUGAAGCAAGAGAUGACUGCGAUGAGAAGAGAACUAGCAGACAUAAAAUGGGCUAGAUACAAUCCUGAAAGGGAAAGAAACAGAAAGUUUAGAACGCUUCCUCUGCUUCCUGGUAAAACAACAACAACAACAAAAACUGGGAUCGGGUGAGAUAAUCCUGCUUCUAGGUUCAUUUCUAUCAGACGGGCCUAUUCAAUGAACCUCCUACAAGCAAACACUACAUGAAUCCUCACAUUUCCCCUGCUCCCCCCCAUGCAGCUUUUAUAUGAACACUCCAUUCCAUUUUUCCCCAUGGGCAUUUUCCAUUGGAUCUGUUUUGUGGUAAAGGCAACAAAUUGUCACAAAUGAAACAACGCGCAAACAAAAAAGUCCGAAGAACAUGGAUGCAGUUCCUGCAGUUCAAGUGCAGGGCAAUGCAGUUCACUGACCUCUUUAUCAUUCCCUGUCAUUAGCGGUAAGUCAUUUAAUAUUAUCAAGGAAAAUGCUUCAAACAUACAAUCAGCUAUUGUUUAUCUCAUGUUCCAAAAGUGUGUGGUCAUGUUCAGUAUGUCCUAAAUUCUUUCAUUUUAUCUGCAUAGACACCAGCAGAAACAAACAUCAGAUAUGUACACCUACAUGUAAUGUAAUGGAUUCAAUCCACUUCUGCCUUCCCUUUUGUUUUCAAGGUUAGAGAAAGGGAAAAAAAUUACUGUUGCUGUUCAUCAGUAAUCUCUUGGAAGAUGCUUUGUACUUUUGGCAUUGCUCUCCCUUCACUCCAGCUGUGCCCUUGCCUAGGGCUCCACUUCUGGCGAAAGCCCACCAAGAAGGAACAGGCCAGCUUGCUCCACUUCAGUCAGAGGCAGGGCUCCUGAGCUGUGUGGAUGUUUGGCAUGGUUUUUGGCAUGGAUUUACUGAGCCUUUAGAGUGACUGAAGGGCAUUUGCAUGCUUGGAGGGAUGAGUUCGCAACUGAGAACAUGUGCAAGGAAAUUACUUGUCCAAGUGCAUCACAGACUCAGAAUAUAACUGACAUGAGCAUCUCAGACCUGAAUGCGUGAGCAUGAACAGCAAAGUCGAUAACCCCAAACUUGCCACCAGUGCCAAGCAUCCUCUGUUUCUGUCUCAGAAACAUCCUCUGUUUCUGUCACCUUUUCCUCCAUGCUGGAGACCAGGAUAUUUGACUGGGAAUGAAACCAUGUUUCUACCACCCCAGGAGGCCAGAGCUGCCUGCUCUGGCCCUCCUUGUUUUCAGGCUGGUUUUUCUCCUCCCCAUCUUCUCUGAGCCUGUGUCAACAGCCUGAUAGAGAUGUCCUCCUAAGCAGCAGGCAUUGGGAGCACCUGGGAGUGGCUCCCAAGCACUCCACCAUUUGAAAUCAUCGCCUUGCUUGAAAAGCUUAAUGGGAUGGGCUGGUUUCCAAGUGGGAAGCUUUGUCCAUAUGUGGGUUAGCAAGAGGGCAGGGAGGAAACAGGCCUUUACAAAAACAAAAAUUCACUUACCCAGCAGUCACAACUGGGCAAGGUCACUUGCGGCACGUAAGAGGUAAAGCCUAACAUAAUAGGGGUUGAUUUAAUAUAGAGAAGUGGACCAGGUCACUUGUCUCCAGCAAGGAUCUGCUGCCUAGGCACAAUGCUGUCAGACAUCUGCAGUCCAAGGCAGGACAGAUCUUCCAUGCAGUGACAUGAGAUGGACACGCACAUGCUGCAGGCAGCUUGCCAGGGAUGAACAGGACAAGAAAAAUAAAAACAGUUCUUGGAAAACAAGAAUUGAAACUUUUCUUUUCCUCUGUGGACUAGUUUGGCAAUUGGUGCAAUAUAUAAUGUGAAACAUAAAAUGUGUUUCUCUCUUUUGACAACUGCUGCUGCACAUGUCUGCUCAAAUCUAUUUCAGGCAUCAGUACUUAUUUGAGGCAAAUCACAGCUCUGUGUAGGUGUGUCAGGGAUGAUUCAGCAGAGAAGCAUGCAUUGCUGAAAAUGUACCUUGCCUAUGGAAAACAGAAAUGUUAUAUGCCUCUUUUUAGCCGACAUACAUCUCCCCUCUCUUGCUUACACGAACACAUAGCAUGGUUCUGCUCAGUGCUCCUGCCACUCGUGCAGACAGUCAGCAGUGCUGAAAGCACCACACAACAGCAUGAAAUACCAGUGUCUAUGUAUGUUAUAAUACUUUCCUUGAACAGCAUCAAUUUUUUUCCACAGCUAAGAAGUGGGACAAGAGCAGUUUGGUGGACAUAAACAUCACACCUAAUAUUUACUUAGGUACAUAUAUAUAUGUACAUAUAUUUAUACAAAGAACAUAUAAUAGCAAUAGGCAAAUAUACUUAAGUGAUGCCUUUCACACCAGGAAACCAACAUAUGAGUUUGAACAAUCUGUUAGAUUUUCACAGCUUGAUUAUUAAACCAAAUUAACUCCUACAGUUACACAAUGUUCUUG
ensembl:lncRNA